CCUACGGGAGGCAGCAGUGAGGAAUCUUCCACAAUGGGCGAAAGCCUGAUGGAGCAAUGCCGCGUGCAGGAUGACGGCCUUCGGGUUGUAAACUGCUUUUAUAUGGGAAGAUUAUGACGGUACCAUAUGAAUAAGGACCGGCUAACUACGUGCCAGCAGCCGCGGUAAUACGUAGGGUCCAAGCGUUAUCCGGAAUCACUGGGCGUAAAGCGUUUGUAGGCGGAAAUCUAAGUGAGAUGCGAAAUCUUGUGGCUCAACCAUAUAGACGGUAUCUCAUACUGGGUUUCUAGAAGAUAGCAGAGGUAAGUGGAAUUAGUAGUGUAGCGGUAAAAUGCGUAGAUAUUACUAGGAACACCAAUGGCGAAGGCAGCUUACUGGGCUAUAUUUGACGCUGAGAAACGAAAGCUGGGGAGCGAACAGGAUUAGAUACCCUGGUAGUCCACGCCGUAAACCGAUGUGUGNUAUUAGUUACGUAGGUAGUACGUACCCGUACCGGUCGUGUACGAGACGUAACGUACGUAACGUACGACCACCGACCGUCGGGAGGGUACGGAGGACGGCGACGACGUAAACCGUUAAACCUAAACUUAAGUUAAGUUAGUUACGGUUACGUGAGGACGAGCGACGGACGACGACGAGGAGGAGG
rnacentral:rRNA from 1 species